rnacentral:sRNA from 1 species
GUCGCUGCAAAAUCAGCGACCGGGUUUGACGGCCCGAGUACAUACAGGCGCACAGGCGCCCCCAUACCGAUUGCAGGCGCUUUUUUU